UUAUAGUGUUUUUAGCUUGGAAGGGAUGCCUUGGAAGUAGAAAAUAGGCGUUAUUUACGAAAGCAUCGGAGUAGGACUUUAAACCUGUGAUAACGAUCUACCUAUAAUGACAAAUCACGGUCAAAAGACCGGUCAUUUUAUCGACAUAUAUGGGGGGAAGUGAAACAUCUCAGUACCUUUUAUAAAAAUCAACCGAGAAAUCAUUAGUAGUGGUGAGCGAACGUGGUUGGGUAUAGAAUUAUUAGCAAAAUUUGAAAUUCCGUAGAAGGUGUUAGUCCUGUAAAUUUUUUUGUUUUAUUUAUUCUAGUUAGUAGGAUUAGACAUGUUAAUCUUAUCCGAUUACUGGGGGACCACCCUCAAUACCUAAUAAAUUCUAUUUACCGAUAGUGUACAAGUACCGUGAGGGAAAGGUGAAAAAGAAGUUUUGACUUUGAAAAGACCCUGAAAUUCCAUGUUUGAGUCGACGUUUUAAUAACAACGGCUUACCUUUUGUAUAAUGGGCAAGUGACUUUUAAUGAUAGGCAAGCUUAAACUAAUAUGUGAAAGCGAAGAUAAAUCGAGUCAUUAAUCGGCUAUUAAAGUCUUUCGUUAAAAACCCGAAACCGUCUGAUCUAGGCUUGAGCAGGUUGAUAUUGUUUUGGAAACAAUCAAUGGAGGACCGAACCCGUGUAUGUGGCAAAAUACUGGGAUGACUUGAGUUUAGGGGUGAAAGGCCAAUCAAAGUCGGUUAUAGCUGGAUUUCUGCGAAAUCUAUUUAAGUAGAGCAUUAUAUUAAUAAAAUUAGGGGUAGAGCACUGUAUGAAUGCGGGGGCAUUAUUGCUUACUAAGUUUUAACAAACUCCGAAUACUAAGUUUUUAUUUAUUGUAGUCAGAGCACGAAUGCAAAGAUUCGUGCUCAAAAGGGAAACAGCCCAGACUAAAAGUUAAGGUCCAAAAUAUAACUUCAGUGGAAAAGGUAGUUGUCUUUUCUAUGACAACCAGAAGGUAGGCUUGGAAGCAGCCACCCUUUUAAGAAAGCGUAACAGCUCACUGGUCUAGAAAUAGAAUUCCGUAAAUAAUGAGGGCUUAAAGUUAUGACCGAAUCUUUAGACAGCACAUAAAUGCUGUGGUAGCAGAACGUUCUGUAUUUCAGGAAGUUUUAUUGUUAAGUUAAAAUGGAGAUAUCAGAAAUGAGAAUACUUGCAUGAGUAGCAUAAAACAACGUGGUAUAAACGUUGUGGCCGAAAGUCUAAGGUUUUCGAUCCAAGGUACAACCUGAUCGGUUUAUAAACGGUCCCUAAGCUUUUAACCCAAAGGUUCUAGUAAUGGGUAAGAUUUUACUGUAAAAAGUGACUGACGGAAGAUUCACUCUAUACCUAAAGCUGCUUUAGGUGUAGACUAUUCUUCCCAGGAAAUAGGUUAUUUAUUAAAUACCGUACCUUAAACCGCCACAGGUGGACGGGUGUAAGACACUAAGGCCUUGAGAUAACCCUGCUGAAGGAACUCGGCAAAAUAACUCCGUAACUUCGGGAAAAGGAGUGAGUUACCCUAUAAUAGGGGUGACUCGUCACAAAAUUGGGGGUGGCGACUGUUUACUAAAAACACAGGUCUCUGCUAACUCGUAAGAGGAUGUAUAGGGACUGACACCUGCCCGGUGCUGGUAGGGUAAUCCUUAACGUUUUUGCGUGAUGGUUAAACCCCAGUAAACGGCGGCUGUAACUAUGACGGUCCUAAGGUAGCGAAAUUCCUUGUCGGGUAAGUUCCGACCCGCAUGAAUGGUGUAACGACUUCCCCGCUGUCUCCAGCAGGGACUCAGUGAAAUUGCAAAGAUUGUGAAGAUGCGAUCAAACCAUAGUUGGACGGAAAGACCCCGUGCACCUUUACUAUAGAUAGAUAUUGUAAAUUAAAUUUUACAGUGUAGGAUAAGUGGGAGCAUAUGAUAUCUUUUCGCAAGAAAAUCGUUGAUGCAUUGGUGAAAUACCACUCCGUAAUUUUUUGAUUUACUUACUAAUUUUAAAAGAACAGUAUUUAUUUGGUAGUUUGACUGGGGCGGUCGCCUCCUAAAGAGUAACGGAGGCAUACAAAGGUAGGUUCAUUUCCUAGUAGGGAAGUAGAGUGUAAUGGCAAAAACCUGCUUGACUGUGAGGGAUACAUACCGAUCAGGGACGAAAGUCGGUCAUAGUGAUCCGGUGGUUCUGUGUGGAUGGGUCAUCGCGCAAUGGAUAAAAGGUACGCCGGGGAUAACAGGCUAAUGAUCCUCUAGAGCUCCUAUCGACGGGUUCGUUUGGCACCUCGAUGUCGACUCAUCACAUCCUGGAGCUGGAGAAGGUUCCAAGGGUUCGGCUGUUCGCCGACUAAAGUGGUACGUGAGUUGGGUUUAGAACGUCGUGAGACAGUUUGGUCCCUAUCUCCUAUGGUUGUUUGAAAAUUACAAGGUUUAUACCCUAGUACGAGAGGACCGGGAAAACAGAAUCCCUGGUGUUUCGGUUGUUAUUAUAGGCAAGCCGAGUAGCUACAUCCUGAAGAGAUAAUCGACCGUAUUGGCGGGAAACUCACCUUUAUAUAAAUUUUCAUUGGGGGGUGGAAGACUACUACCUUGAUAGGCGAGAUGUGUGCGGAUUGUAAGGUCUUUAGCUGACUCGUACUAAGCCCUACUGUUUUAA
rnacentral:rRNA from 1 species